CUCCCUGGAUCUCAGGAUCCAUCAGGGGAAACAGAGCCCAAGUUAUUUUUCUCUGAGCUUCCUUAAUUUUAUUUUACUGCCUUGGGCAUGAUUAGGACAAUGGUGAGGCUUUGAGGAGGGAAGAUGUUUGGGGGGUGCUUGAAAUAUCUAAUGGGGUCUCCAAAUGUCUAGUCCUUCUGGAGACCAGAAAGACUCCAACCCCUAGGAAAACAGAGGUCUCCUGAGCAGUUUUUGUGCGGAAGGAAUUUCGUGCGCCACACCCCUCUGCAAAACGUUGGGACCCCUUUGGCUCAGGUAACCCCCUUCAUAUUCUAGGCUGCUUUCCAGAGCCACAAUUGCUCCCCUCCUUUUAAGACUGGCUGUUCUGUUCAUCUUGGGUGCCAAGAUUUUUCUUUUACUCGCUAAGCCUUCCCCAUAUAAUCUAAUGCUUCAUUUCUUCCCAGAAAAAAUAAGAUAGUUACUUCAAAUUCAGCAUUUCAAUAAUAGUAGUAAAAAGUCCUUCUUUGUAAAAGGUACAGGGUCAGUUCCUGCCACAGAGCUCAUCUGCAUCAUCUCCGUUUCUCUCUUGUGGAUGAGGAGAAGACCUUUGCAUUUGACCAAAAAGCACUAGUAAAUAAGGAGUUAAAAUGAAGGCAGGCUCACUGGUUUGCUGAGAUCUGUCAGAGUCUGACUGGCUGGCUACAUAUCUGUCUCUGGAACAAUAGGUACCUGUAUUCUGCACGGACUGCUGGGCAGCGCUGACACUCUGGAGAAGGUCUGCCUCUGCACUUUCCUGGUUCUAUGCAGGCAGAUGAGUACCACAGCUGUAACUGAGGCACACGGCAAUAAACACAGUGGAGCCAAUUUCUACGAUGGCGAGAGAGGGGGCAUCAGAGUUGACAACAAUGACAAGGAUCCAAGGACCGUCCUUCUGACAAGUUUCAGAUUCUCAAACUCAACUGCUGAAGUUAGGAAGUGUACUUCAUAGGAAAAUACAGGUGGAUAUUUCUUAAAGCAACUACUAUAUCUGACCUCUGCCAUGGAGCUGUUUUACUGACUAUAAGAGUCAUGACUUGUGUACAUAGAUAUGAAUAUAGGGCUUACUUCAAGAAGGUAUUAUUCAUACCUGAUACAUACAUAACAUGUACUAAUUUUCUUGGGUGAAGCAAGUUGGAAAGGUUGCACCCUGAACCACUGAACAUGAUGGCCGAUGUGCACCCUCUAAUUUAUAUGGAGGUCCUCUGCUGAAGCAUCCCCAUUCUUUGGGCAUCCCUGCAAGCUAAUUGAGAUAAGUGAGGAUGCAGCUUGGGC
rnacentral:lncRNA from 1 species